rnacentral:rRNA from 1 species
GACGAACGCUGGCGGCGUGCUUAACACAUGCAAGUCGAACGAAGUGGCGAACGGGUGAGUAAUACGUGAGUAACCUGCCCUCCUUUUUGGGAUAAGCCUUGGGAAAGGGGUCUAAUACCGGAUAAAGGGGGAUGGGCUCGCGGCCUAUCAGCUUGUUGGUGGGGUGAUGGCCUACCAAGGCGGUGACGGGUAGGCGGCAUGAGAGGGUGAACGGCCACAUUGGCACUGAGAUACGGCCCAGGCUACUAAGGGAGGCAGCAGUGGGGGAAAUUGGAGAAUGGGCGAAAGACCGAUGCAGCGUGGCCGAGGGGGGGAUGAAGGUUUUAGAGUUGUAUCACUCUGUCGCUAUGGAAUGGGUAGGUGCAGAAGAAGCGCCGGCUAACUACGUGCCAGCAGCCGCGGUAAUAC